ensembl:lncRNA
CACUUUCACCUACCUAUCUGUCUACCCACCUACCUGUCUACCUAUCCUUAUUGGUUUUGUUUAUUUGGAGAACCCUGAAUCAUGAACCAACAUAAGACUGUGGUUUUAAUAUUUACCAAGUAAGGACUCAAAUCCAAACAAAUAAAAAUGAAAACCUACCAUCUACUGUUAUCACUUCAUGAAGAAACUUUUCUACUCCCAUAAUAGAAAAGCUGUAAUCUCAAAAUAAAGGACAGUUUUAUUGAUUGAAAAGAUCAUGUCCUAGCAAACAGCUUCAUGCACAGCUUCUCUUCAUUUAUAGUUUUUCAUUUUCCAAACACAGGUGGAAGUGCCUGAGCCAGUCUUUAGGAGCUGUACUGUGGGUGACCCAGCUUUUGAUCGUGUGAGAGAAGAGUCUCCCCAAAUAUUUUCCCCUGAUAAAAGAAAGUAGGAAAGUAAUGAGGUGUCAAGACUCACAGUCCCUUUUUUCUUUCUAUAAACAGCACGUACGGAAUUGUAGGGUUGUUUGUGAGCCAUGCUCACUCUUGUGUCCUAUCUCUUUUGUUACAGAUGAUCACAGAAAUAUCUUGCUGUAAAAGCACCUCACGGUUUCUUCUAAAUGAAAGCACAUUUCCUAUGUCCUUUCAGCUCAGCUCUACUGUUCAUGCAGAGGCUGAGGAAACUGUCCAUCACAGGCUUCUUAAAACUCAUUAUCCUUACAGAAGGUGAGAGCUGGAAGUUCCCCUGAAGAUCAUCAAGUUCAAGUCCACUUUUGACAGGCAAGAUAACAGAGGCCAAGAGAGGUGAAGUGGAGCCCAGGAGCGGCAGUGGUGGGUUAGGCCCCAAGUUCCCGAAUUUCAGUUCAGCAAUGGCCUUGCUCAUUUCAGCUUCCUCUUUUGCCUUCAUCACUUUCGUUUCACUUGGCUCUUUCCCCCAGAAGAGCCUUUCUCCUUUUACAUCUCCUUUCCUUUACUUUGAAGUUACAGAUCUGAAACUCUGUGUUUAGCUAUGCCUUGGCUUUCUUCCACGUUCUGUGAGGAGGUUGAUGGCCUCUCAACAAACUCCUUUUAUCUAGGUUCAAAUUUCCCCACUUCCCUCUGCUGAAGCUUGAUACCAACUGACCUGUAAGGGCUUGUCCUUCAAAACAGACUUAGGACCUUGCCUGUAGGACCAAUUACUGAGAGGACAAGUGAAAAUUAUUGCUUGCCGCUGAUAAGUCGCUUCAUCCUACUCUACUCCUUUGAUUAUUGCUGCCUCUUCAUCUUUAGCUCUUCCAGAAGAUGUCUUCUCAGUAUUUAUGCUUAAGUAUUGGGUUGUCCAAAAAGUUCUUUCAGGUUUUUCCUGUAACAUUCCUAACAAAAUUUUUGGCCAACCCCACCACUUCCCAACAUGAAACAAAACCUUGGACCCACCGUCAUGACUUCAACUUUACGGUUAGACUCUAAAGAGCUCAUACCCCAAAUCCACUAUCCUACCUCCCACCCACACUUCAUUAGGAUCUACUUUUGCUCCCAUAGGUGCAGCAAAACUGUUCUGAUUGAAAUCCUGGUGGCUAAAUCCAGUGAACCUUUUUCAGUCCUUAGCCUCAAGGCAGACUCUUUUUC